GACGAACGCUGGCGGCGUGCCUAAUACAUGCAAGUCGAACGCUUCUUUCCUCCCGAGUGCUUGCACUCAAUUGGAAAGAGGAGUGGCGGACGGGUGAGUAACACGUGGGUAACCUACCCAUCAGAGGGGGAUAACACUUGGAAACAGGUGCUAAUACCGCAUAACAGUUUAUGCCGCAUGGCAUAAGAGUGAAAGGCGCUUUCGUGAGUCGUUGAUGGAUGGACCCGCGGUGCAUUAGCUAGUUGGUGAGGUAACGGCUCACCAAGGCCACGAUGCAUAGCCGACCUGAGAGGGUGAUCGGCCACACUGGGACUGAGACACGGCCCAGACUCCUACGGGAGGCAGCAGUAGGGAAUCUUCGGCAAUGGACGAAAGUCUGACCGAGCAACGCCGCGUGAGUGAAGAAGGUUUUCGGAUCGUAAAACUCUGUUGUUAGAGAAGAACAAGGACGUUAGUAACUGAACGUCCCCUGACGGUAUCUAACCAGAAAGCCACGGCUAACUACGUG
rnacentral:rRNA from 1 species